UUGCCAUCGGAUGUGCCCAGAUGGGAUUAGCUAGUAGGUGGGGUAACGGCUCACCUAGGCGACGAUCCCUAGCUGGUCUGAGAGGAUGACCAGCCACACUGGAACUGAGACACGGUCCAGACUCCUACGGGAGGCAGCAGUGGGGAAUAUUGCACAAUGGGCGCAAGCCUGAUGCAGCCAUGCCGCGUGUAUGAAGAAGGCCUUCGGGUUGUAAAGUACUUUCAGCGAGGAGGAAGGUGUUGUGGUUAAUAACCGCAGCAAUUGACGUUACUCGCAGAAGAAGCACCGGCUAACUCCGUGCCAGCAGCCGCGGUAAUACGGAGGGUGCAAGCGUUAAUCGGAAUUACUGGGCGUAAAGCGCACGCAGGCGGUCUGUCAAGUCGGAUGUGAAAUCCCCGGGCUCAACCUGGGAACUGCAUCCGAAACUGGCAGGCUAGAGUCUUAAUUUGG
rnacentral:rRNA from 1 species